GACGAACGCUGGCGGCGUGCUUAACACAUGCAAGUCGAACGGUGAAGCGCCUUCCUUUUUGGUGGGUGUGGAUGAGUGGCGAACGGGUGAGUAACACGUGAGUAACCUGCCCCCUUCUUCUGGAUAACCGCAUGAAAGUGUGGCUAAUACGGGAUAUUCUGGGUCUGUCGCAUGAUGGGUCUGGGAAAGAUAUUGUUUCGGUGGGGGAUGGGCUCGCGGCCUAUCAGCUUGUUGGUGGGGUGAUGGCCUACCAAGGCGGUGACGGGUAGCCGGCCUGAGAGGGUGGACGGUCACACUGGGACGGAGACACGGCCCAGACUCCGACGGGAGGCAGCGGGGGGGAAUAUUGCACAAUGGGCGCAAGCCUGAUGCAGCGACGCCGCGUGAGGGAUGGAGGCCUUCGGGUUGUGAACCUCUUUCGCCAGUGAAGCAGGCCUGCCUCGUUUGUGGGUGGGUUGACGGUAGCUGGAUAAGAAGCGCCGGCUAACUACGUG
rnacentral:rRNA from 1 species